rnacentral:rRNA from 1 species
UAGUACGGCGAGUGAGAGGGAAGAGCCCAAGAUUGAAAGCUGGCGUCUUCGGCGUCCGCAUUGUAAUCUCAAGAAGUGUUUUCCGCUUCGGACCAUGCCUAAGUCCCUUGGAAAAGGGCAUCAUAGAGGGUGAUAAUCCCGUACAUGGCAUGGAGCGCCCGAAGCUUUGUGAUACGCUUUCUACGAGUCGAGUUGUUUGGGAAUGCAGCUCAAAAUGGGUGGUAAAUGCCAUCUAAGGCUAAAUAUUGGGGAGAGACCGAUAGCGAACAAGUACAGUGAUGGAAAGAUGAAAAGAACUUUGAAAAGAGAGUUAAACAGUACGUGAAAUUGCCAAAAGGGAAGGGUAGGAGGUCAGAGAUGCGUCUUGGGAUUCAGCCUUGCUUUUGCAUGGUGUUUUUCCCAAGUUGCAGGCCAACGUCGGUUUUGGGCACUGGAGAAGGGUAGGAGGAACGUGGCACCUCUCGGGGUGUGUUAUAGCCUCCUACUGGAUACAGCGACCGAGACCGAGGAACGCAGCGUACUCGUAAGAGCGGGCCUUUUGGCACCUUUACGCUUAGGGCGUUGGCAUAAUGGCCCUCUACCACCCGUCUUGAAACACGGACCA